rnacentral:misc_RNA from 1 species
GAUGAAGAACGCAGCGAAAUGCGAUAAGUAAUGUGAAUUGCAGAAUUCAGUGAAUCAUCGAAUCUUUGAACGCACAUUGCGACCGCCAGUAUUCUGGCGGGCAUGCCUGUUCGAGCGUCAUUACAACCCUCAGGCCCCCGGGCCUGGCGUUGGGGAUCGGCGGAGCCCCCCGUGGGCACACGCCGUCCCCCAAAUACAGUGGCGGUCCCGCCGCAGCUUCCAUCGCGUAGUAGCUAACACCUCGCGACUGGAGAGCGGCGCGGCCACGCCGUAAAACACCCAACUCUUCUGAAGUUGACCUCGAAUCAGGUAGGAAUACCCGCUGAACUUAAGCAUAUCAAUAAGCGGAGGA